AGCGAAAGCGAGUCUGAAUAGGGCGUGCAGUAUGAGGUCGUCGACCCGAAACCAGGUGACCUACCCAUGUGCAGGGUGAAGGUGCGGUGAAACGCACUGGAGGCCCGAACCCACGUAUGUUGAAAAAUGCGGGGAUGACGUGUGGGUAGCGGUGAAAUUCCAAUCGAACCUGGAGAUAGCUGGUUCUCUCCGAAAUAGCUUUAGGGCUAGCCUCGGAUGAUGCAUCGUGGAGGUAGAGCGACUGUUUGGACGAGGGCCCCUUGCGGGGUACCGAAUCCUGAUAAACUCCGAAUGCCACAGAUGUUAAUCCGGGAGUCACACUGCGAGUGAUAAGAUCCGUAGUGGAAAGGGAAACAACCCAGACCGUCGGCUAAGGUCCCCAAAUCCUUGUUAAGUGGAAAAGGAUGUGGGGCUGCUUAGACAACUAGGAUGUUGGCUUAGAAGCAGCCAUCAUUUAAAGAGUGCGUAAUAGCUCACUAGUCGAGUGGCCCUGCGCCGAAAAUUUACCGGGGCUAAACAAGGUACCGAAGCCACGGAUAGAACCUUUGGUUCUAUGGUAGGAGAGCGUUCUAAUCAGCAUAGAAGCCUGACUGUGAAGACAGGUGGAGCGAUUAGAAGUGAGAAUGCCGGUAUGAGUAGCGAAAGACAGGUGAGAAUCCUGUCCACCGAAUGACUAAGGUUUCCUGGGGAAGGCUCGUCCUCCCAGGGUUAGUCGGGACCUAAGCUGAGGCCGAACGGC
rnacentral:rRNA from 1 species